GAUGAACGCUAGCGGCAGGCUUAAUACAUGCAAGUCGAGGGGCAGCACAGGUAGCAAUACUGGGUGGCUACCGGCAAACGGGUGCGGAACACGUACACAACUUCCCUUCUGGUGGGGGAUAGCCUUUGGAAACGGAGAUUAAUACCCCAUAUUAUAUAUGAGCUGCAUGGUUUGUAUAUUAAAGAUUUAUUGCCGGAAGAUGGGUGUGCGUAUGAUUAGGUAGUUGGCGGGGUAACGGCCCACCAAGCCGACGAUCAUUAACUGGUGUGAGAGCCCGACAAGUCACACGGGCACUGAGACACGGGCCCGACUCCUACGGGAGGCAGCAGUAAGGAAUAUGGGUCAAUGGACGGAAGUCUGAACCAGCCAUGCCGCGUGGAGGAUGAAGGUCCUCUGGAUUGUAAACUUCUUUUAUAGGGGGCGAAAAAAGGGAAUUCUUUCUCGUCUGACGGUACCCUAUGAAUAAGCUCCGGCUAACUCCGUGCCAGCAGCCGCCGUAACAC
rnacentral:rRNA from 1 species